ensembl:lncRNA
AAAUUACAAUUUUUCGACCAUUACGGAUUUUACCUGGUCUGAAGUUGGAGUGUAUUAUUUGACCAUUUUUUGGACAGGUGCGGGAGCUGCUGGCCAUUUGCCCUAGCAGGACACUGACAUUUUGGAACCAGUGUUGAACGGUGCAUCAGUUGCCAUCCUCACCAUCCUACAAGAUGACGAUGCUGAUACGUCUGUACGAGAACAUGCAGUUGUGUUGGAAGGGGACAUCGUGCUACAUAACAUUCCAGAUCUCUCUACUGCCCUGGCACACCUCUUUGGCCUUCUGUAUGCCCUCAACAUUGAUUAUCCAAAGCAGAUGAGUUUUACCUUUGAAGCAAUUCAGGCCAUCUUAUUUUGGCCUGGUCGGACAAUAUGAAGG